rnacentral:lncRNA from 1 species
UGAACUUGACUUGGUUACUGCCAAGCUUUCAACUGCUAACUGCUAACCCAACUUGCAAGGGGAUUCCCGCAGAAUCAUGAAACACAACACAAAUGUACAAAGGACCUCUAAGAACAUCUAUGGCUUUUUCUUUUAAUUUUGUACUCUCUGCCUUUUUCCGCUCUAUGACUUUUUCAUACAAACCUCAUUGUUUGCCUUUUCCAUAAGACUCAAGACAGACAAAAUUAAACAGAAAAAUAUAAAACAGAAAACAUUGAAGGAGAAGAACUUCUGUUAGUUUAGGUAGCUAUGAGAACCCUGUGCCUUGCACUCUCACUCCUUGCUUCAAGCCCUGGCUGUUCACCCUUAUAUAUAGGGAGAAGCCUCCACGGUUGAAACCAAACAAACCAAGCUAAUCUUCUUCUUCUUCAUGCAAACCGGUUCGGCCAGAGAGAGAAGAGGAAACUGAAUGUAAAACCCAACAUGCAAUUACCUCUGGUCCUUCCUUGGUCACCAAUCUUCAUCAAUCCGAGCCCUCCAUCUUGCCUUGCACUCCAAGAUGGACUCCUAGCCCUUGAUGCUUCAUGAUGAUGACAGUUUCAUCUGCUCCAACUUCUGCCUCUUCCAUCAUGUAGCCAUUGUAGCUACCUCCUGUGGUGGUUGAGUAAAAUCAGAGUCAAGCCAUCCCUCCAAGAAUCUUACUCCUCUGACCGAAAUCUUCUUCCUCCAUUUUUGGGUAUGGAGAAGCCAAGAUCUCUUCACCAAAUCUUACCAUAAGUGAUGAGAAUCUCAGCCACAGCAUACUUUUUAUUUUCUUUUUCUUGCCAUCAUUGUGAUGGUCUUGUAACUUGCUUCUCCUUCUCUUCGGUGGCUAGGCCUAGCUUCCAUAGUUUCCUCUGUGAUAUGACCGAAAGAAGAAGAAAGAGUAGAGAGAGAAGAAAGAAAAAAGCAAAGCUAUGAGUGUUAGAUAAAUUAAUUAGGUGCAACUCUCCAUGCUUUGUGUAGUAGCGUGUAAGCUAUACUAAAUGCCAUCAAAUCACUUUGACAUUUUCUCUUUCAUGUUUUCAAGGUAAUUAACUCAAGCAAAAAAAAAAAUUGAAAUCCACCACAUGAUGGAAAUGGGAUCCGUUGGAAGCAUGAAGCAAAAAUAUUUGCUUUCUCUCUCAAUUGGUUUCGGACCAAGUAUUGGGUCUUUAGUUAAAUAUGGGCUAAUAAUAAUGUGAAUACAAUCUGGCCCAUUUAAGCAAUUCAUUGUUUCAGUCACAACAAAAAAUCUGUAACAAUGCUGAAAACAAUUUAAAUGGACUUGCUGUAUAUUUCUUUUCUUUUUGGCCCAUUAACAAAACCUGCAUAGCAAAAUUAUUUAAUUAACAUAUUUGAAUUGGAAUCAAAUUAAUAAUUUUGUAAUUAAUCAUAUUAAUAAUAUUUAGUCAUCACUAAUAUUAACUUAGGGUUUUCCAAACUCAUCACAUUAGAGACACUAGAUUUUUAAAAUAAGGACAAAUUGACAAUUAAUGAAAAAAAAGGCUUAUGGCCGUGACUUUAGAGCAAUGGAGGAUUCGAGACACAAAUCCUUCUAGCCCUUGAAACGCUAGAUUCCAACCGUGAUCUUUAAGGUUCUUAAGGAUAAUUAUCUAAACCAAAGAGAACAAAAUGACCUCUCAUGAAGGCUCUUCAAAACCGAAAAGAGAGGAUAGAAAAUGAGAGUGGUUUAUACACUUUAUCUUGUUGGAUAUUCGGAAAAAAAAAGAAGAAAAAUAGAGGAUCAAACUGAAAAUCUUGAUUCUUGAAAGAAUGGUGAAAUGCUCCUUGAUUUAGUGAAGUGAAAGUGUAUGGAAUCAAUACAAGAUCACUUUUUCUUCUCUCAAGGCUUCGGCCUCUCUUUUUCUCUAAUUUCU